rnacentral:lncRNA from 1 species
AUAAUUUGCAAUAACUUAAGUAAACAUAAAUUCAAAAUCCGCUAGUCAUACUCAAGAUACCAAAAAUACGUUCAUAAUGUGGGAAAAAAUAAACUGAGCUACAAAUAUUCACAAUCUUCGAAGCCAUAUAGCAUAAAACAUACACAACUGCAGACAACUAAAAGGUCAGAAAAUGAGAUGUGACGGGUCUUUUUGUGCAUAGAGGACACCACCAUACUCACACACGAUACUGGGCAAACAUCUAUCAGGGCCAAGUUUGUGUUGUGGGAAGCAUAAAAAUGGAGGGAGGAGUUCGUCCAGUGCAGCAGUGUAAGAACAAGUUUGUGCAGUGCAGUGGGGCUUCAUGAGCAAACUGGAUCUCUGUACAGUGAGUGUUGCAGAAGGGAGUGAACAAUAGUGUGGUUCUUUGUUGGCAUGAUGGGAAGCUACUACGACAGCAAGAGCAGCUUUUGGAAAUUCGUGAGUAAACGGAAACUGAAGGAUUGUGGAAAGGGGUGAGCAAUAGAGAGGUUCUUUGUUUAUACAUGGUAGGAUGGGAGGCUACCGCAAUAAGGGUAGCUAUGGAAGCAUCGUGAGUAAACAGAAAUGCACUAGCCCUAUGGUGAAAUGUCUUCUUUUUGCAUGGUUUUGGUCCUGAUUUUACAUUCUCAUCAAAAUCACAAAACUCUUGUGACUUUGAGUGGGUUCAAACGAGUCCACAAGAGUUCAACUUAGUUUCCUAAUAAAUGAGUUUAUAAACAGUUCAACUUAGUUCCUACGUAGAAGAAACUCAUGAGUUUGACUUGACAAUCAUGCUUGUACACACUUGGUUGGGUCAGCCACUGUCCAAGGGGUGUUUUGGAUGCAUACUAACUUUUAGCAAUACAAGUGAAUGUAGUUUAUUAUAUUUAUGGUAAAAAAAUUACAUCAUUGUUUGGAAUUUAUGCCGGAAUAAAUGAUUUCUUUGCAAUUCGAGAUUCAAUUUGUUGAUGCAGUUUAUAUUUCUUAUAUUCUUUUUGAGGCAUAUGUGAUUAAUUGUCUUCCUGCAUAUAUUCAGUGUGCAUCUUUUUUCAAUAUUUGGACAAUACUGGAUGUGAAUAAGUCACUUCUCUUUUCUCCUUCACCUAGCUACACAUUGGACUAGCAAAACCCUGGCUGUUGUUAACUUCUGAUAGAUAGAUCCUGGAUUGUUGAUUUGUCAUCUCUUUAGUUUAUGCUACUAUGCUACCGUUCCCAUUCAUGCCAAACUUGUGUUGAUUUUUUACAUCUGCUCUAGCUUGAGCCAUGGUCUACUAUGUUGAGAGUCUCACCUUGUAUUAUAUAUGCCAUAAAAACGUGUUUAUAAGUAGGUGCCAUCCCUUACCU